AUACCAUUACAGCAGGCUUCUUGAGACGAUCGAAACGGACAUAUUAUUUUCUAUAUUUGGAGUCCAAAGUGAAAAGAUAUUAAUUUCACAAAUAAAGGAGAAUUACCACUAAUGGGCCCCACACCAAAGGAAGGCCCAUGACGUGAGAAGAGGCUCAUAUGGCAUGAUAGAGGCCCAAGAGAGGCGCCCCAAGCUGCUCUCUUUAGUGGACUCACAUAAGGGAUGAUUGGAAGGUCCAAGUUGAUGUAUAAUAGCCCAACAGAGCAAACAGUGGAAGAAUUAGUUCCACAUCGCCUGUCUAGAAGUGGUAGGAGGCUUUUCUAGGCUAUAAAGAAAGAGGCAGACC
rnacentral:lncRNA from 1 species